rnacentral:lncRNA from 1 species
CGGGCGUCGGAAAGCGGCCUUCUGGGACUCCGCAAACUCCCGUUCUCCCUCCCCCCUCCCCCUUGCCAUUCCCUUUGCCUUCCGGGCGCCAAGUCUCUCUGGCCUCCAAGGUGAACCCAACUCCCCAGCGCGCCCCGGGUUCCCGGGUCGGGCCGGCUUCAGGCGGUGGGGAGCGGGAUCCCGGGCCCCGGGCGGGCGGGAGGGACGGGACGCGGUGCAGUGUUGUUUUUUCCCCCGCCAAUAUUGCACUCGUCCCGGCCUCCGGCCCCCCCGGCCCCCCGGCCUCCCCGCUACCCCUAGCGGGGCAGCCCCCGCCCUCCUGGCUCUCCAUCCCGGCGGAUCUUUGAUAGACUGGAGUGUCGCCGCUGCCACCACGGGAAAAUGGGUCAUGGAGGAGUGACUUCACCAACAUCACUCAUAGGUGCUUGUGUCCGUGGUGAGAAGGGUGAUGGAGAGAAGUGGCUGCAGUUCCCACCCAUGGAGAGGUCACUGGUGAAUCCCAGCUAAAGAGGAAGGACAGGCCCGGCCUGAGUCCCACAGGCUUACCAUCUGAGUCCUUCUGAUUGGGAUUGGGUACCAGGCGGCAGUUAUCGGGACCAGGAGGCACAUAAUCUGGGAUGCCAUCAUUGUCAUCAUCCCCAUCACACUCAUCUCCAAGUCCAUCGUUAUCAGAGUCCAGCUGGGAGCUAUUUGGCAGCUGUGGGCAGUUGUCCUUGGUGUCCUGAUGCCCAUCCCCAUCGCUAAUCAGAAGAACAGGUUGGUGAAAGUCCCGAACUUUGUCUCCCCACCCAGAGGACAACUGGCCAGGAAAUCUGCCUGUUUCUUGUCUCACCCUCUAGUCCACACUCUGCCUAACACUACGCCCUACCUCACAUUCCUAUUGACAUCUGCUGCAGGUAAUCUCUCCUCACCCAGGCCAACGUCCACAAGCCUGCCUCCCUAUUUCACAGAGACUUCCUAGCUUCCCUGCUUCAUCCCCACCUGAUCCAAAUUCUCACAGGUCCCCCAGCCACCCCUUCAGCCCCAGGCCUGCACCAUCCCCAUCCACGUCGUUGUCACAGGCAUCUCCUUCCCCAUUGCCAUCUGUGUCCUUCUGGUCAUUGUUGGGAACGUUGGGGCAAUUGUCACAGGCAUCACCAAAUGAAUCUGUAUCUGAGUUCUGCUGGUCUUUGUUGGGGAACAGCCGGCAGUUGUCCUGGGCAGAGGGGUGGGAGGGGAAGGGUCAGGUCUCCCCUAAAUCACUUGUCAUCUUGCACCUA